rnacentral:rRNA from 1 species
AUACUUAAGUAGUAAUAGUUAUGAUCUUGAAACUUAAAGAAUUUGGCGGUAUUUUAAUCUUUUCAGAGGAACCUGUUCUAUAAUCGAUAAUCCUCGUUUAAUUUUACUAAAUAAUUUGUAUAUCGUUGUCGAAAGAAUAAAUUUUCUAUAAUUUAUAUUUAAAUGUAUGUCAAAUCAAGGUGCAGUUAAUAAUUUAGAAGAAAUGGGUUACAAUAAAUUUAUUUAGGAUUGGCUUAAAGGUGGAUUUGAAAGUAAAUUUAUUUUAAUAAAUUAAGUUGAUAAUAGUUCUAAAAUAUGU